GCGUACAUUUGUUCCUAUCUACAUAAGUUAUAAGUGAUUGCAUUAUACAUAUUGUGUAAUAACCAGCUCUUAUUUGCUUAACAUGUAGUCAAUAUUUUGUCCUAUUGAUGUUAAUAUUUACAGAUAAAUGGGUUUCUAUCUGAUUAUAUUUCAUCCACUGUUUUUAAAAGAGAUUUCUGAGAGACACAUACCUCCAGUAGCCAUGCUGACAGGUGGGGGUCAUGAUGCUAGAGCUGAGGACACAGGUGAACUCUGUGCAUUUUUUUUCUGAGCAGAGUAGAUAAUAACAACACUGGGUCUGGGCCUGAAUUUCUGCGUGUAAUUUGAGGAUUGCAGAAGGAGUUAGGCAUCUUUUGCUGAGACCCAUCUUCAGGUCAGGGGCCUAAUGAGAACACUGCACCAAGGGAGGGCAGAACAAAUCAUUUGAAUGGAAUGCAUUCCAAUCCAGAAUCUUCCUCUAGAGAACAUGUUAUUGAAUGUCUGACUCUCCUUAUUACUUGUGUGGGGGAAAACACGUACUGAACAAAAAAAUGCCACCAGAGACUAGACCUUGUCAAUGUUCUCUGAUGCCUAGUAGGACCACUGCAGAAAAAAAAAUAUUAAUGAGACUGUUGCCAGGAGACGGGAGAGCCAAAAGUCCAUGACAUUGUAGGGGUUCCACUGGAAAUCAAGGCAAUUUAACUGUGUUUUAGAUCAGAAGUUUUGCUACUAAAAUCAGUUCUGUGAUGAGCAUGUACUUUUUAGCAUGUGAUACUUAAAAUGAUUCUGUGUUUUUGGAGGAAUUGGAGGAUAAUCCCAAGGCAUUUCAUUUCUUUCCACAGAGCUAAUCCCUUCUUCAGAGCACAGCUCAUUUUCAAGUGGCUGCUGCCGCUUUCCCGCCCCCCCUUCAGUGCGACAGCCUCAGAGCUGGUGGAGAAGCAGAGCGCUUGCAGCUGGAUCAAUUCAUAGACGUGGAAUUUCUGGAUCAAAUGGUAUGAACCAGUUUAAGAUUUCUCCUCCACCACCACCUUAUACAUUAUCACCUAAUUUAUUUAUCAUAUGUGGUAAAAACAUUAUUUCCCAGUUGUUGUUUGCCUAUUGAUUUUGUACCAUUUAUGCUGGGUUUUUUUUUUACAUGAUGCAGCUUUACAUUUUUAGAUAUCCUCAGCUAUCAGUUUUUGAUUUUAUGAUUUAUUUCUUUCCUUUGAUGAGUAUAUUGACCUGUAUUUUUUCUAGUUAUUUCAUUGCUUCAUUUUUUUUAUGAUUAACUCUGAUUCAUCUGGAAUUCAUUUUGGUAUAUGGUAUGAAUAUGAAGUAGGAUCUAAUUUUGUUUUUUUUCCAAAUAGGUCACCAAUUGUUUCAGCAUCAUUUAUUGAAUAAUCCAACCUCUUCCACUGAUUUGAAAUGGCAACAACUGCUGUCCCAUUAGCUAGGGUAUAGUGUCCACAGAUAAGCCAUGUUCUUUCUACCUAAGAUGGUCACAUUCCACAAUAGCACUCUUACCUUCUUGCAGCUUCAACAUGCUAAAACAUCAUGUUCGUGCUCAUGCCUUUCAAGAAUUCUAGGCACAUGCGGUUUAGGGUAGUGGUUUUCAAACAGGAUUUUUAGAUUUUAAAUAUUCCAAAAUUAUAUUUUUAUCAGAUGCUUUUUACAAAUUAAAAUCGAGGAAUCCGAGUAU
rnacentral:lncRNA from 1 species